GAUCUUAAGCUGUUAAGAAAACUAUAUCAAAACUUCAUUCGGAAAUUAGCGCUCUAAAAAAAAAAAGUCGGAACCAUAAAGACGUCCCUAGAACUUCUUGAAACCUCAGUAAUUAACGAGGCCGAAGAACCAGCUCCGUCAACAGCACCGGACAAACCAACAUCUUCGCCGGAACGGGUCGUUGAAGAGCAGGUUUCGUCUGAGAUUUCUCAGCAGCCACGGAGACUAUCAGUAAGUUCAACAGAGGAGGACCGUGGAAAGGAACUCACAACUGUACGGGAAAACAACCCGGUGCCCAAGGCUUUAGGCGACUCCAUGAUCAAGGGAAUAAAUGAAAACCGUCUAAGUCGAUCGCUCAUUGUAUUAAAAGUGUAUGUCAGAGGCGGCACAAAAGAGACCCUCGAAUAUCUGAAGUCUCUGGAUGAUAAUGUGGUCUACGAAUCGGUCUUUAUACAUACUGGAACAAACGACAUCCGUGGGUAUACAUCAAUUAACCAAAUAGAGCAAAACAUCGAGCUAAUCAUUCAGGAAGUGAAGUCAAAAUGGCACGGCUGUAAAGUAACUGGACCCUGCGCGCAGGGUUGACUGGGAUACCUGGAGGGGGGAAUGUUGGGGUUCCUGUGUUGUGACGUGUACAGUGUUUGACGUAUAAAUGAUACUGCAAAACUGGCGAAACUUUUGAAAAAGUUUGUCUCUGUCAUCAGUGAUGGUGUACUUGUGCCGAGAAUUAAACAAAGCAAACACAGUUUUUGGAGACAAAGGAGAGGGGUAUAGAAUACCGGACAUGGAAUUAGAACAUUAUUUCAGAGCCCAAACUGAAGGAGAUGUGUGAUCGUCACCACUGUCCAACCAUGCAUAGGCUUUCUAUCAACAGUCCCCUCGUCCUCCUUGUACCAGAAAAACGACACAAGGUUCACAAUAACAGCAG